rnacentral:lncRNA from 1 species
CAUAAAGAAGACUGAACUCAAGUCACGAUGAAGAUCCUCCUCAUCUUCUUCACUUUCUACCUGAUCUCAGGUGCAGUGAAAGACAUUGACGUGACUGGGUAUUCUGGAAGAAGCAUUCAUGUUGAUUCACACGAGUCUUGGUUCAAUUCUUCUGCUAAACACAUGAGUAAGUUACCUGGGUGGAGAAUAAUUGUGUUUGAUAAGAGACAUGAAAAAUGGAUUGAUGAAGGACGAUUCACAUUGUUUAAAAACAAUGAAGACAAACUUAUGAUCUACAUCAGAGAUUUAAAUCAACAUGAUGCUGGAAGAUACCAGAUUAGCGUUGAAGGCAAAUGGUCCAUCGAUAUGACUUUGAAAGUGGAAGAAGGUCAGUUAUUUUAAGAUCAAAUUCUUAAGAUCAAAAGUGUAGUAAAACAACUGAUCAUUUCAAAACUUUUAAUGUUUGUGAAAUCUAUUUCUUUAAUUUUGUGAAUUACAGAAAUAUGUUGUAAAAUGUCGAAGAGAGUAAUGGUGAAGAUUGGAGAAACUGACACCUUCAGCUAUGAAUAUUCAAACAGUCAUAUUAAUAACUACGAAAUCAUAUUCAAAGAAGGAAGAGACACCAUUGACACGAUCUACAGCAAAAGGAAGAAAACAGAAAGAUUCAGUGUUUCAGAUGACAAACAUAAAAACAUCUUCAGUGUGAGAAUCACUGCUGUGACAGCAGAUGAUGGAGGAGUUUAUUUGUGUGGAGUUUGGAUCAACAGACACUCGUACAGUUACUCCAUUAUUACUACAGUUUACCAGUUUAUUAAUAUGUUAUGUUAUUAUAAUUCAUAAUGU